UACGUAGGGGGCUAGCGUUGUCCGGGAUCAUUGGGCGUAAAGCGCGUGUAGGCGGUCCGGUAAGUCCGCUGUGAAAGUCGGGGGCUCAACCCUCGGAUGCCGGUGGAUACUGUCGGGCUUGAGUACGGAAGAGGCGAGUGGAAUUCCUGGUGUAGCGGUGAAAUGCGCAGAUAUCAGGAGGAACACCAAUUGCGAAGGCAGCUCGCUGGGACGUUACUGACGCUGAGACGCGAAAGCGUGGGGAGCAAACAGG
rnacentral:rRNA from 1 species